rnacentral:rRNA from 1 species
UACGUAGGGACCAAGCGUUGUUCGGAUUCAUUGGGCGUAAAGGGUGCGUAGGCGGUCGCGCAAGUCGGAUGUGAAAUCUCAGGGCUCAACCCUGAAACUGCAUUCGAUACUGCGUGGCUAGAGUGCUGGAGAGGAGACUGGAAUUUACGGUGUAGCAGUGAAAUGCGUAGAUAUCGUAAGGAAGACCAGUGGCGAAGGCGAGUCUCUGGACAGCAACUGACGCUGAGGCACGAAGGCCAGGGGAGCAAACGGG